GGGCCUGUAGCUCAGUUGGGAGAGCAUCGCAUUUGCAUUGCGGGGGUCAGGAGUUCGAGUCUCCUCAGGUCCA
rnacentral:tRNA from 1 species